UUCAUUCAUUUGCUGCCUUCAAAUACAGAUUGGAUUUCAUACAUAUACUCUCACCCCCUCUGAUCUCAGCAAUCGAGGAGAGAAGAAUGAAGUAAUGAACACAUGCUCCCCCUCUCCAGUUAAAAUUUAGUCUAACAAAAUAAGGAGAAAAAGACAAAUAGACAAUAAUGACCCGACUAUUGGAAUUAAAAAAAACAUAAUACCCCUUUAACUAAAUAGACUUAAACAGACUUGUUUAUUUAAUAAAAUCCUUACAGUUUACUUACAUGACAUGCCUCAUAAGUUUACUUACAUGACAUGCCUCAUAAGGAAUUGUGUAAAACACUAGUUUCCCACUUUUCCAGGAAACCAAAAACAGACGCCCAUUAUUAUUGUGUUUGCUGUAAGAAUUGACAUAUCUACUCUAUUUUUGAUUAGGUGUCCACCGUGAAUCUUUGAUUUUCAUUAGUGGGGGAAAAUCAGGGGCUGUUGUUUCAAUGUUGUCUCCCGACAGAGAAAGGGCUUCCAGAGUUACAUACGUGGGUAAGAAGCAAAUUCUACAUGUAUAUACACAAACUUUUUACUAAGGAAGUAGAGGGAGGGAGA
rnacentral:lncRNA from 1 species